CGUGUCCUGCAAGGAAAAGAGAGGCAGUUUCAACUUCUUGUCCAUCUCUUCUUCCCUUUCAGGUCUUUCCAGAAUGGAAAGUCAAAUAGACCUGGCCCGAUGUAUCUAUUCUUCGAUUUAAGCACUUUGGUCGGUGCUGACUCCUUGGUAUUCAAAGCCUGUGUACUGCCAUGACUUCUAAGGCUUGGUAUAUCCUAUACCAGUCAUGUUCUCCUCACCUAGUACCAGGAAGUUGGUAGUUACUAAUUCUUUUUUGUCUGAAUAUUGUAAGAAAAAGCA
rnacentral:lncRNA from 1 species